AUUGAACGCUGGCGGCAGGCCUAACACAUGCAAGUCGAACGGUAACAGGGAUCAGCUUGCUGAUUCGCUGACGAGUGGCGGACGGGUGAGUAAUGUCUGGGAAACUGCCUGAUGGAGGGGGCUAACGACUGGAAACGGUAGCUAAUACCGCAUAACGUCGCAAGACCAAGGAGGGGGAGCUUCGGGCCUCUUGCCAUCGGAUGUGCCCAGAUGGGAUUAGCUAGUAGGUGGGGUAACGGCUCACCUAGGCGACGAUCCCUAGCUGGUCUGAGAGGAUGACCAGCCACACUGGAACUGAGACACGGUCCAGACUCCUACGGGAGGCAGCAGUGGGGAAUAUUGCACAAUGGGCGCAAGCCUGAUGCAGCCAUGCCGCGUGUAUGAAGAAGGCCUUCGGGUUGUAAAGUACUUUCAGCGGGGAGGAAGGGAGUAACGUUAAUACCUGCGCUCAUUGACGUUACCCGCAGAAGAAGCACCGGCUAACUCCGUG
rnacentral:rRNA from 1 species